rnacentral:rRNA from 1 species
CAGCAGCCGCGGGAAUACAGAGGGUGCGAGCGUUAAUCGGAUUUACUGGGCGUAAAGCGUGCGUAGGCGGCUAAUUGAGUCGGAUGUGAAAUCCCCGAGCUUAACUUGGGAAUUGCAUUCGAUACUGGUUAGCUAGAGUGUGGGAGAGGAUGGUAGAAUUCCAGGUGUAGCGGUGAAAUGCGUAGAGAUCUGGAGGAAUACCGAUGGCGAAGGCAGCCAUCUGGCCUAAUACUGACGCUGAGGUACGAAAGCAUGGGGAGCAAACAGGAUUAGAUACCCGCGUAGUCCCUGUCUCUUAUAC